UAUGAAUUGAACUCGUAUAAAUCCGGGAAUAUGGCCCGGAAGUCUCUACCUGAAAACCGUAAAUUUUCGGACUACGAGCGAAUAC
rnacentral:ncRNA from 1 species